rnacentral:rRNA from 1 species
GAUGAACGCUGGCGGCGUGCUUAAUACAUGCAAGUCGAACGGAGGAUGUAGCGAUAUGUCCUCAGUGGCGAACGGGUGAGUAACGCGUUGGUGACCUGCCCCGAAGAGAGGGAUAACAGUUCGAAAGGACUGCUAAUACCGCAUUAGGUCGUUGAGGCUAGAGGCUCGAUGACGAAAGGAGAAAUCCGCUUUGGGAGGGGCCUGCGUCCCAUCAGCUAGUUGGUAAGGUAAAGGCUUACCAAGGCGAAGACGGGUAGGGGGCCUGAGAGGGUGAUCAGCCACACUGGCACUGGAACACGGGCCAGACACCUACGGGUGGCAG